AUUGAACGCUGGCGGCAUGCUUUACACAUGCAAGUCGAACGGAAACAUGGAGAGCUUGCUCUCUGAUGUCGAGUGGCGAACGGGUGAGUAAUACAUCGGAACAUGUCCUUUUGUGGGGGAUAACUACUCGAAAGAGUAGCUAAUACCGCAUAAGACCUAAGGGUGAAAGCGGGGGACCUUCGGGCCUCGCGCAGAUGGAGUGGCCGAUGACUGAUUAGCUAGUUGGUGGGGUAAAGGCCUACCAAGGCGACGAUCAGUAGCUGGUCUGAGAGGACGACCAGCCACAUUGGGACUGAGACACGGCCCAA
rnacentral:rRNA from 1 species